GGSMUUSGUCCCCCGGUAAAAGCGGACGCACGGGGUGAGGUAACACGUAGGUAAUCAAACCCUCGRGUGGUGGAUAACUCUCCGAAAAGGAGRGCUAAUACAGCAUGAWGCUAGCAAUAGCCAAAGCGGGCCUCUUCAUGAAAGCUCGCGCYRGAGGAUGAGCCUGCGGCCCAUCAGGAGUUGGCGGAGUAACAGCCCACCAAGCCAAAGACGGGUAGCUGGUCUGAGAGGAUGAACAGCCACACUGGAACUGAGACACGGUCCAGACUCCUACGGGAGGCAGCAGUCGGGAAUCUUCCGCAAUGGGCGAAAGCCUGACGGAGCGACGCCGCGUGAGUGAUGAAGGCCUUCGGGUUGUAAAGCUCUGUGGGGAGAGAAGAAUAAGUUCARGCGAAUACCYUGAAUGAUGACGGUAYCUCCUUAGCAAGCACCGGCUAACUCUGUGCCAGCAGCCGCGGUAAGACAGAGGGUGCAAACGUUGUUCGGAUUUACUGGGCGUAAAGCGCGUGUAGGCGGCUUUGCAAGUCGGAUGUGAAAGCCCACGGCUCAACCGUGGAAGUGCAUCCGAAACUGCAUGGCUCGAGUCUCGGAGAGGAAGGUGGAAUGCUUGGUGUAGAGGUGAAAUUCGUAGAUAUCAAGCAGAACACCUGCGGCGAAGGCGGCCUUCUGGACGAUGACUGACGCUGAGACGCGAAAGCGUGGGGAGCAAAACAGGAUUAGAUACCCCUGGUAGUCCACGCCGUAAACGAUGAGUGCUAGGUGUCACGGGCUUUUGACCCCUCGUGGUGCCGCAGCUAACGCAAUAAGCACUCCGCCUGGGGGAGUACGGCCCGCAAAGGCUAAAAACUCA
rnacentral:rRNA from 1 species